rnacentral:rRNA from 1 species
GUGCCAGCAGCCGCGGUAAUACGUAGGGUGCAAGCGUUAAUCGGAAUUACUGGGCGUAAAGCGUGCGCAGGCGGUUAUGCAAGACAGAGGUGAAAUCCCCGGGCUCAACCUGGGAACUGCCUUUGUGACUGCAUAGCUAGAGUACGGCAGAGGGGGAUGGAAUUCCGCGUGUAGCAGUGAAAUGCGUAGAUAUGCGGAGGAACACCGAUGGCGAAGGCAAUCCCCUGGGCCUGUACUGACGCUCAUGCACGAAAGCGUGGGGAGCAAACAGGAUUAGAUACCCUGGUAGUCC